CCACUGAAAUGCACUGGGAAGGGGGACUUAGAUACUAACACAAGUUCAAUUCAAGAAGCAUUUAUUGAACCGUCCUCAUGAGCCAGGUCAGGGUGUUCAGCACUGAGCGUGUCAAGACGAAGACACAUAGCCUCUAAGUGUCCACCAUCUACAAUAGCUAAUGUUUAAUUGUCCUUAAAAGUUGAAGAAUGUUGACUGGAUUGUCUGCAAAUCAGUCAUGUGAGUAGUGUUAAUCUAAUGAAGAAGAAUCUUAAAAGACAAAUUCUCCAAAUGCUGCUGCUCCUGCAUCCUGCUGCUCUACCUGCUGUGGGGAGGAGGGCAUUGGGAAUUAGUGUUAAACAAGACACAAAAUGUGUGCUCUC
rnacentral:lncRNA from 10 species